rnacentral:lncRNA from 1 species
AUGUUUCUCUGGCGAAUGGGUAGGAAGGAAGGUAGCCCUCUUCUCGGCCAGGCCUUCACCACGCCCUCUUGUCGACUGUUCUCCGGCAGAGCCCUGCCUCGUCUAUGGGAGGAAGCGAACAAGAUGCAUGCUCCUCGUUCCACUGGGGCCUUGCCACAUCCACAGGAGGAGGGUCUUGCUAUGUCGCUAAAUUGGCCAGGCUCAGCUCGAACCUGCAAUCUUCUCGCCUUGGCCGACAAGCACUCUGAGAUUUCUGGUGUGCACCGCCACACCCGCUGCCCUGGUCUGAGGGCAACUUGGCUCCCAAGUGCUUGGGGAAGCACCUCAAUUUUACUUCCUGGGCCACCAACAGUGGCUUCACUUUCCUUAAGCCACCAUUUUAGAUAAAAUAAACCAGACAGAUGUAUGAGCCAUGUGGGUUGUCCUGUGACACUGCUCAUGUUUUCCUGGUACCCAGCACGAGGCUGUGUGGGAGCAGAGAGGCUUCCCCUUCGUUUUGAUGACUUGGGCAGUGCAGCUGCACCCCGAGCAUGCCAGUGUCUUCUACUCUGUUGGAGAUGGAGGGCUAGCGAGGUGUCCUCAUGUGCAAAUGGAACUCUAUUUGGAAACAAAAAUGUCCCCGUGGGUUCUUUACCUAGGUCACAAGCAAGGGCUGGGUGAUGGGGUGUGGCUGGGGUCCUGGCAAUGAAAUGAUACCUGUGAUCUCUAGGCAGCCCACAACACGCAGAGGACCUGGAUGUGAAGUCAUCCCUUCCGGGCUAUGCUUUGCUUCGUACCUGAGUGGCAGUCUCUUCAAAUCUAGAGUAUUCUUUCAGGUCACUUAAGGCCCUCCUGGUUGAUCUUGGUGAUGAGUCCAUAGAUCAAUUCUCAGGGCAGAGGCUGUGGACAGCCUUUUGGAAUAGACAGAUUUAGAGAGCCCUGUUCAGCGGUCCUCGUGCUCCAGGCAGGGCCAUGGAGAACGCAGUGCUGUGGUGGCUCCAUGCUGGCUCUGCCAGGUCCCCUGAGCAGCCCAUCACGCUGGUUCUUCUGCAGCCAGGCACCGAGGAACACCAUCACCUCAGGCUGCCUGAGCCCUCUGCCUCCAAUUCUCCACCUCUGCAGGUGUGGCAAGAGGUUGGAAAGCAGCUGAGUCCUUCACAGUUGUAGACAAGGUGAGAGAGAUGAGCAAGACGAUUACCUGAUUACCUUUCCCCUCCCACAAAUCCUGUGGGUUGUUGUUUUGUUUUGUUUUUGUACCGGGGAUCGAACUCAGGUCCUUGCGCUUGUGGGGAAUACGCAAUAGAUUUGUGUUGCUUAUAGACAUUCUUUAUGUGAGGGACUCUUUUGAUUGCCACCAUCUGCUUUUUGAAUAUUUGGCAAGAUUGCUCAUAAAUAGAAACUUAGUACACAUUAAAUAAAUAAAACAAAUCUCUCCAUUACUUACAUUUUUUUUUGCCUGUGCUUCCCACUGAUUAUUUGGAUAUUUGAUUUCUUUGCUUUUUUUUUUUUUGGUACCAGGGAUCGAACUCCAGACCUUCUGCUUUCGAAGCAGGUGGCAGAACCACUGAGCUAAAUCCCCGGCCCUAGGCAAGAUUUAUCCUGAAGAGGGUAAUUUGGCAUCUCUAAUUUGAUUUAUACCUUACCAUGAUCUCCAAGACAAGACAGGUUGGAAGACUUUCCUAGAAUCUUAUGACUAAAAUUGGCUAAAUGAGAUCCAAAUUAAAGCCCACUGAAUCUUCCACCUAAUUCCAUCUCAUGCAGACCAUGGACAGCCUUCAGGAGAGGGGCAGGGAGGGCAGGAGAGAAGUGAGAAGAGUGACAUUUAGAGACACAUACUGUGUCUUACAAGUUUGAUCAAUCCUGAAAAUGGCUUAUGGACUAGGAAUCUUGAGACUCUGCUUAAAUGGCUUAUCUGGAGUCACAGAGCUGGGAAAGUGGGAUUGGAGCUGCAGCUGCCCUAAUUGUAAAGAGGGAAAUAGCAGCACAGGUGUGGAGAGAAUGUUCUAGAACAUGAUCGGGUCAAGGGAAACUCCUCCCUGCUGGUGGAGGGGGAAUUUUUGUUCCUGUGUGGACUUUUGAAAAUCUGUCCAACUAUCAUGGAGUCAAAAGCCCAUGGUGGGAGUGAGUAAAACCACAAUGCAAAUGAGAUUAUAAUUAAUUGUAUCUGAGUUGGGGUCACUUGUGGUUGUUUAGGAUGUCCUGCAGCGCAUGAGUCCCAAGGGCUGCCGUGGUCUGUAGAAGCGGGUGCUCUCUGAUUUUCAGAGCUCAUCUUGGAGCCACAGAAGCCUCUAGCUCAUGUGCCCUCUGGUCUUUCCCGAUUAUGGUCUGGCUUCAUAACCCAGCACUUCCCAUGUGGUCUUUGCAGAGGCAGCCUUAGGGCCCCGCCAUGCAGGGAUUGCUCCUAUUUCCCGCUCAUUUAUCUAAAAAUACAUAGGCGUGGGUAAAACGUGCUUAUAGAACACACAACAGUCUAUAUUUUUAAGUGAGUUCAAUUAUUAAGUAAUAUUUCAUAUCAAUUCACUUUCCAAGUGUACACUUGAUUCUGUGUAUUAGAGUCCAGUGGGUGUUUGUGUGUUUGUUUUGGAACUGGGGAUUGCACCCAAGGCCUUUGCACUGAACUACAUCCCCAGCUCUUUUGUUUUCUUUAAAGACAGAGAGUCCUUCUAUUACUAAAUUACCCAGCCACCAACUGCCUCAGCCUCCUAGAGUGCUAGGAUUACAAGUGUGCAUCACUGUGCCCAGAGGAAAGUUCAUCUUAUUCUUCCAUAAGUAUCACACAAGACAGCCGUGGGAACAGUAUUCUUAAAAUUAAUAAUAAAAAUGUAAAACAAAUCUAAAAUCUAGGAAUGAUUUCAUUCAUAGAAGCAGUCAUACCCAAGUACCAUGGCACAGACUGGUAAGCCCAGUACUAAGGAGACUGAGGCACGAGGAUCAGGAGUUCAAGGCCAACCUGGACCACACACUGAUUUUAAGGCCUGAUGGACUAAGUAAUAAGAUCUUGUCUUAAAAAAUCAACACCCCCCCCCAGGAAGCAAUCAUGCGUGAUGGAAAACAGGAGCUAAUGUAUUUGCAUAGAACAUUUAAAAAAAUAAGUCAAGGCUGGGGAUUUAGCUCAGUGGUUUCGCUGCCUACUGCACAAGCGCAAGGACCCAAGUUCAAUCCCAGAUACCAAAAAAAACCCCCCAAAACAAAAAAUACAUAAAAAAAUAAGUCAAAAUGUUAACAGUGGUUAAAUCAGGCUGGUACACUCUCAUUUAAAAAGGUUUGCAUUAAAUCGGAUACAAAUGUUUAAAUACUGCUUUGUUUCUCUGGUGUGAGAAACCAAAAGUGGAAAUCAGGACUAAAAUCCAUAAUAGAUAUGGGGAAAUGGGAAGAAAAUCUUCAAAUGGGAUGGGAAACAUGGGAGCAGGGAGGGAGGGAGUAGGGAAGACAAAGAAAAAAAAGUGAAAAUAGAAAAAAUGGAAACAGUUUUGGAAGGGAGGGGCGUUAGAGGAGGAGGGAAAUGGGAUAAAAUAAAGUUUAUUUAAAAAAAAUUUUUUUAAAUAAAAAUGUCUUCUUAUCAUGACUACUACUACUACUACUGACCAAUAUAAUUAUAAAAGGGGACUAUUUUAAACACUCUUCCAGAAAGCAGCGAGUUCCUUUACUUUCCUGGGCUUUGUUUUCUUUGUGCACACAGUGGACUUUUCAGUAACCUCUAC